GUCAGUCUAAAUAGGAAAUCAAUCAACAUCCUGUAAGAAUCUAAAAUAAAGUGGGGGAUGGGAGUGGGAGGAACACAGAAGGGCAUUUUUUUUCUCAACUUUUGCAUUGCUCAGUCUUCCUCUGACACAGCCAUAAGCCAGCAAACACGAUCUACAAAAGGAAUUUACGGUCAACACUGAAACCGGAACCUUAAAGCUAGGAAAUGUUUCUUCCGGGCAUAUUUACCACAGUAGCGGAUAUAUAAAAAUUUGACGAGGACCUUGCACCAAGAUGCCAGAGACUGUCCUUGGCUUAGCCUGUCUCCUGCUUUGUACCAGUGUUCUCCAAAUCGGUUCAUCAGAAAGCUGCAAACUCAAAGUGAAGAUGCUGAAUAACACGGUCCACCAAGUCUCAUGCUUCAACAAAAUGCGUGGAGAAGAAUGUGCGAUCGGUCGCACGACCAGCUACUGUAACAUCGAGGAAAAAAACGGACAUAUAUGCAUCAAAUGGACUGAUGCCGAUAUGACGUGCAGGAAAAUGGAUCAAGAGCUUUCAAAAGUCCCCCUUGAGAACGGAAAAUGUGCUCAGGAUCAAGAGAGUUUGGACUGCAUCAGAGAGUUUACAGACCCUGGUGAUGCAAAGAAUAAUGCGCUCCAUGUGACCACAUGCCUAGAAGGUCUACAUCUGAUGCUUCUUCCUCUUUUUUUUUUUUGUUUAAGUAAGUUUUGUUUCAGUGUUUAAGUGCAGCUGUACUUUAUUGAAAUCUUUCCAUGUUUACUCUCACACCACUACAUUUCAAAGUCAAAAAUCUUUUUCCCUUUUUUUUUACUCCAGAACAUUAUGCAAAAAUCUAAGUUUGUGCUUUGUUUUGUGAAAUUUUGGCAUUAUCUAUUCAACAUAAAUAUUUUUCUUAAUUAUAAAACACUAUUUCAUUUUCUAGUAAAUUUGUUUAGGCUAGUUUAUGUUUAUAUACAGAACCCUACAGAUCAAUAUACUAAAGGAAAUCUCAUUUGAAGUAGGUUGUUAUUAAACUUAAACUUGUAACAAUAAAUUGCAAUAAAGUGCAAUAAAAACUUAAACUGAAACUUGUUUGUUAAAAGUGAUGGAAACUGUUUACCUUCAGUGUUUUGUGCUUAUGAUCAUUUUAAUACACGUCAGCUUCACUAAUUAAUGACGUUCUAUUAAAAGACUGGUUUACCAAGAGAGACGCUGGAGGAUUUUCACCUAAAAUGAAUUCAUGAAGCCAGUCUUGUUACAAAAAUAGUAAUGGGACAUGAAGGUUAAUCUUUUAGUACUUUUACUUCAGUACAUUUGAAGGGAAAUACUUUUGUACUUUUACUCAAGUGGAGGUCUAAAGGGAGGAACUUCUACUGGAGUAGUGUUUUACUUUGGGUGUCUCUGCUUUAACUCAAGUACAUGAAGUGUGUACUUCUUCCACCACUGAUAAUCAAGUCAUAAUCAUCAAUCACGAUAACAAUCAUGUCAUUUAAAAAUGACCGACUCAUUCUGCAGAUUUUACCAAAUUUGAGCAAUUAAAAUGUAAACAAUUCAGAGACGUUGAGGGUGGUCUGAGGUCAAACGUUGCAUUCUAGGUAAGUUUAAUGUAGCUAGUGUCCGGCUAGCGGCUCGUCCUGCCGCAGACGAGCGAAAGGCGACCCGUGAGCGCUGAGCAGCACAGGUAGCUUUAGCUACCCGCCGUAUCAGUGAGAGACGUAAACACAUGUACCCAGUUGUGGGCUGGGAGCUGUGUAGACUCUUGUAUCGGUCUGUUGGGCUGGUUGGUGGGGUUUAGCGUCGUGUGUGGCUCUUGCUGACCUGUCCUGCUGCGGAACGCAGAUAAGAGAUCGAUCAACGCGCUAAGGUUCCCACCUUCUGCUUCUCCUACACCGACUCUAGACUGGUAGCGACAGAAACCAAACAAUUUACACACAAUGCAUUUAAAGGAAUAAUUCGGCGAAAUGUCACAUUCGCUCGACUUACAUCAGAAGCUGUCGAUCAGCCAAGACAGUUGAUCCCCGAGCUCUGCUCUAGUGUACAGCGGGAGACGCUAGGCUAACACUGCUAACAAGCGCUAAUGCUGGAUUGUCACUAAACUCAACCCCGUAAAUAUAUGCCCCCGAAACGUCCUUCAACCCGCUCAAAUCACAUCUUAAUUUGUUUCACAGAGACACGCUGAAGAGGUUUAAAGCACAGUAUGUACUUAUUUUAGUCUUUAAAAACAAAAACCUCUCAGCAAAAGUGGACAGUGAGUAAGUAACCGGAGCCACUGUUGCCUCAGUGCAAUAUGUGGUAUCAUUCCGCAGCGGAAGGCGAACGCGACAGGGGAACUGAGCUUUUGUGCGUUUGAGAUGAAAGCAAGUGGUCCUCUUUCACCAAUAACUUCUUAUACAAAGCGGGCGUUAAUAAGGGCUAUAUGUACCGGAAGCUAGCGCAUGAAUGUACGCAAUAUCUUCCACUCAGUGGUGAACAAACCUUAUUUUUACUCCGAUUUACCUCAAUUUUAGCAUUUUCAGCAUUACAUGUAAAACCGAAGACACUGGUUGCAUUGCAGUCAUCUCAAGCCCUGGUUCCCGUCAUCACCACUGUAGAGAAAUCUGAGUCUAUAAGUUUAUCUAGUGAACCAUUUCACAUCAGACCACUCUGAAUGACUUUGUUAGCACGUUAACGAUUUCCUUAUACAGCAAUUUUGAAAAAUCGGUGUAGUUUCCUUUCAAGCCAUGCCUUAAUACUUAAUACUUAAUAUAGAUACUUAUAGAUACAUAUGCUUUUUGACUUUCACUGACAUUCAAGUAUAUUUUUUAUUUUUAUAUUUUUUCUAUACUUCUGCUUUCAUUUUGGCACAGUCCUCAAACCUUUAUUUAAGUAUAGUUUUUCAGUGUUUUUUCCACCCCUGGCAGUGAGAAGAGUAGAGAAGAAAUGUGUCAUCAGAUUGUCUUUUUUUUUCCACACUGAUGAAUUAACAAGUGAACUCUAAGAGACCAGUCUAAUUGUCAACACACUGUGUCUUGACAUUUGUUUACUAUCCAUAUUCUCUUAAGUGAGAAGAGGUCUGAAAAAAUUUCAUAUUUUCAUGUUUUUUUGUUAAUAUUAUUCUGUUUUCAUAAGCAUUUACCACAGUACCUUCUGUAAGCUGAUUUUCUUUGCUGACUCAUCUGUUACUGGUGUUUGUCUGUUUCCAUUACAAAUACAAAUGUAUCAGUUCCUUUUAAGUGUGUCAUUCCACUGUUUUUUAAGUGUGUCAUUCCACUGUUCCAUUCCAAUGUUGCACCCUCC
ensembl:lncRNA